rnacentral:lncRNA from 1 species
AAUGGGGUGAGAAAAUGGUUGGAAGGGUUAACUUAUAUGGACGCCUAUGUUUUUUAAAAAUUACAUGCUGCACACUGUAUAUGGUAUGUGCAUAUAGACGUCAUUCAUCAAGCACUUAUCUUGAUGCACUAUUAUAGAACCGGACAGUUAUAAUUAGCAGCAAGCAUGACUAUACUGUGUAUGAACAUUAUUUUUUCAUAUUUCUAGAUCCCCUGUGUCUCCAAGUUUAGAAAGCCUCAAGUUUGGAUGAAGGAAAACGUAGCUAUAUGAAGUCACACUUCCACGGCAUUCUUUUAAUCUGAAAGGUGAACAGCUAUCAUUUAUUUAUUUAUUUAUUUUUUUGAUAUGAAUCAUUUAUCAUUUCAGUUCUAAUACUUGAUAACGACAACAUCUUCCAACAACAUACCCUCAUCAAAACCGUUGCUUCUCACUAUAAUUCAAAUAAUGGUCAUAUUUAUAAUUUGUACUAAUCAGGUUCAAAUAAGUUAUUUAGUGGCUUAAAUUAAAUGAGAAGCAGAAGUCGGCCGAAGUAUUAAGAAAGAUAGGACAAAGACAUUUGUUUAAUAUUUGUCAUUAUGACCAUUAGGACAUGCAUGGCAGUAGUCUUGAUAUUUAAAAGUUAUUUUUUAGACAUAAAGUUAAUAUUUCUAAAAACGGUGGC